rnacentral:rRNA from 1 species
CCUACGGGAGGCAGCAGCAAGGAAUCUUGGGCAAUGGGCGAAAGCCUGACCCAGCAACGCCGCGUGAGGGAUGAAGGCUUUCGGGUUGUAAACCUCUUUUCACAGGGAAGAAUAAUGACGGUACCUGUGGAAUAAGCUUUGGCUAACUACGUGCCAGCAGCCGCGGUAAUAGGUAGGAAGCAAGCGUUAUCCGGAUUUAUUGGGCGUAAAGUGAGCGUAGGUGGUCUUUCAAGUUGGAUGUGAAAUUUCCCGGAUUAACCGGGACGCGKCAGCAGAAACUAGWAARCUWGAGAAGCCGAGGRGAGGRYGGAAUUCCGGGUGUAGUGGUGRAAUGGCUAGGUAUCGGGAGGAACCCCAGGGACGAARGCGGCCUUCAARGYUUAYACUGACGCUGAGGAACAACAGCGUGAGGAGCGAACGGAMUCAGAUACUCUGGUAGUCCACGCUUUAA